CCUACGGGGGGCUGCAGUGGGGAAUAUUGGACAAUGGGGGGAACCCUGAUCCAGCCAUGCCGCGUGUGUGAAGAAGGCCCUCGGGUUGUAAAGCACUUUCAGUGAGGAAGAACGCCUGGUGGUUAAUACCCAUCAGGAAAGACAUCACUCACAGAAGAAGCACCGGCUAACUCCGUGCCAGCAGCCGCGGUAAUACGGAGGGUGCGAGCGUUAAUCGGAAUUACUGGGCGUAAAGCGCGCGUAGGUGGCUUGAUAAGCCGGUUGUGAAAGCCCCGGGCUCAACCUGGGAACGGCAUCCGGAACUGUCAAGCUAGAGUGCAGGAGAGGAAGGUAGAAUUCCCGGUGGAGCGGUGAAAUGCGUAGAGAUCGGGAGGAAUACCAGUGGCGAAGGCGGCCUUCUGGACUGACACUGACACUGAGGUGCGAAAGCGUGGGUAGCAAACAGGAUUAGAUACCCGUGUAGUC
rnacentral:rRNA from 1 species